rnacentral:misc_RNA from 1 species
GCCCACUAAAUUUAGGUCCCAUAUGGCCAGAAUCCCACACUCCAAUUGGGUGAACUACCUUACAAAUUUGACCCAAAAAAUAUGAAAAAAUAUACCAAAAUGUAGCUGAACCUUCCAAGCUACAUUUUGUUGCUUGAGCUUGAGAAGAUGCCCAUAGCCAUGAUUAGCGAAGAAAACAACUUAUCUCCCUAAUUACUGAUGCCAUUAAAGACUUAGAAAAAAUACUAAAGAUCAAAGGAGCCCGCUAGCAAAGUCUUCUCAAGUAGCUUCAUGGAUUUAGAGAGUAAGAGGUUAGGCAUCAUUGAAGUUAUGCAUCGACACCACAGCAAGCAUAGAACGUCGGCGAUGGGUCUC